rnacentral:tRNA from 1 species
UAAAAUAAAGCGAUUUAUUGCAUUCAGUUUCGACCUGAACUUAGAAGGUUUCUAUUUUUU